AACUCAUUCAACGGAGGGAUGCCUGCUAAUUUAUGAACAAAGCAGGUAUUUACAGACCCCUUCAGCCUCAGGAGUCCUGAUAAUCAAACAUGAAUCACAGGACUGAGAUACCUCACAUGUUCUGCACGGGGCAAGGACUCUAAGGGCGUGAGACAUAUAUCUACGGCUUCCAGUCCACAUGUGUUAUAAACAACAUUGCUGUGGUAAUAAAGACCUAACCUUCUCAGGUGCUGAUCACCCUGGCAGGAUUGUAACUUGGUAAAGUAGACACACAAGAACAUCAUACCCACUGCUUCAGGCUCCCAGGCCCCUGCACAGACUCCUCCUGUUGCCACAGGGAUGUGGAGACAGUAGACAAAUGGUUGGUCUUCAUAAAGUCCUCCCUUGGGCUCUUUCACAGACACCUGGAGUGGCCUGGGCACAGGGGUCCAGCCAGAGGAAACAGAAAAUUUUACACUUUCUUUAUGGCCUGCGGAUGAAACAGAAGAGUCUGAAACAUUGUUCUAGUGCUCAGACUUAGAGUGCACAGUGGCCCGCAGUGAGCCCGGGGCUACCUGCUCAAGCCACAGAAACGCCUGGGACUGCGGAGACAAAAGAGCAGGCUGGCAGAGGCUUUCAACUGGAAAGCUUCAGGUUUUGAAUUAAAACCCUCC